rnacentral:rRNA from 2 species
ACGGGAGGCAGCAGUGGGGAAUAUUGGGCAAUGGGCGAAAGCCUGACCCAGCGACGCCGCGUGAAGGAAGAAGGCCUUCGGGUUGUAAACUUCUGUAGACAGGGACGAAGAAAUGACGGUACCUGUAAAGUAAGCCACGGCUAACUACGUGCCAGCAGCCGCGGUAAUACGUAGGUGGCGAGCGUUAUCCGGAUUUACUGGGUGUAAAGGGUGUGUAGGCGGAGGAUCAAGUCAGAUGUGAAAAUUAUGGGCUCAACUCAUAACUUGCAUUUGAAACUGAUCUCCUUGAGUGUGGGAGAGGUAAAUGGAAUUCCCAGUGUAGCGGUGAAAUGCGUAGAUAUUGGGAGGAACACCAGUGGCGAAGGCGGUUUACUGGACCACAACUGACGCUGAGACACGAAAGCGUGGGGAGCAAACAGGAUUAGAUACCCUGGUA